rnacentral:piRNA from 1 species
UUCUCUUUAGGCAUCAGAGAAUCGGCUUCCU